ensembl:snoRNA
UGGCCCCUGUGAUGUCCAGCCUGGGAUUUGAUCUGAGGACACAGUGUCCUGGAACCUUUGACACUUGUGGGUCUGAAGGGCCC